GGGCCUGUAGCUCAGGUGGUUAGAGCGCACGCCUGAUAAGCGUGAGGUCGCACGUUCGAGUCGUGCCAGGCCCA
rnacentral:tRNA from 1 species